GACGAACGCUGGCGGCACGCCUAACACAUGCAAGUCGAACGGACGAGAGAGAAGCUUGCUUUUCUCAAGUUAGUGGCGGACGGGUGAGUAACACGUGAGCAACCUGCCUUUGAGAGGGGGAUAGCUUCCGGAAACGGAUGGUAAUACCCCAUAACAUACAUUUAAGGCAUCUUAGAUGUAUCAAAUGAAAUUCGCUCAAAGAUGGGCUCGCGUCUGAUUAGAUAGUUGGUGAGGUAACGGCCCACCAAGUCGACGAUCAGUAGCCGGACUGAGAGGUUGAACGGCCACAUUGGGACUGAGACACGGCCCAGACUCCUACGGGAGGCAGCAGUGGGGAAUAUUGCACAAUGGGGGAAACCCUGAUGCAGCGAUGCCGCGUGGAGGAAGAAGGUUUUCGGAUUGUAAACUCCUUUUAACAGGGACGAUAAUGACGGUACCUGAAGAAAAAGCUCCGGCUAACUACGUGCCAGCAGCCGCCGUAAUAC
rnacentral:rRNA from 1 species